rnacentral:rRNA from 1 species
AUUGAACGCUGGCGGCAGGCCUAACACAUGCAAGUCGAGCGAGCGGCGGACGGGUGAGUAAUGUCUGGGAAACUGCCUGAUGGAGGGGGAAUACUACUGGAAACGGUAGCUAAUACCGCAUACCAUCAGAUGUGCCCAGAUGGGAUGAGCUGGUAGGUGGGGUAACGGCUCACCAAGGCGACGAUCCCUAGCUGGUCUGAGAGGAUGACCAGCCGCCGUGGAACUGAGACACGGUCCAGACUCCGACGGGAGGGAGCAGUGGGGAAUAUUGCACAAUGGGCGCGAACCUGAUGCAGCCAGUGCGCGUGUGUGAAAGAGGCCUUCGGGUUGUAAAGCACUUUCAGCGGGGAGGCGUUACCCGCAGAAGAAGCACCGGCUAACUCCGUGCAAGCAGCCGCGGUAAGAC